GACGAACGCUGGCGGCGUGCUUAACACAUGCAAGUCGAACGGAAAGGCCCUGCUUUUGUGGGGUGCUCGAGUGGCGAACGGGUGAGUAACACGUGAGUAACCUGCCCUUGACUUUGGGAUAACUUCAGGAAACUGGGGCUAAUACCGGAUAGGAGCUCCUGCUGCAUGGUGGGGGUUGGAAAGUUUCGGCGGUUGGGGAUGGACUCGCGGCUUAUCAGCUUGUUGGUGGGGUAGUGGCUUACCAAGGCUUUGACGGGUAGCCGGCCUGAGAGGGUGACCGGCCACAUUGGGACUGAGAUGCGGCCCAGACUCCUACGGAGGCAGCAGUGGGGAAUAUUGCACAAUGGGCGGAAGCCUGAUGCAGCAACGCCGCGUGCGGGAUGACGGCCUUCGGGUUGUAAACCGCUUUCGCCUGUGACGAAGCGUGAGUGACGGUAAUGGGUAAAGAAGCACCGGCUAACUACGUG
rnacentral:rRNA from 1 species